rnacentral:tRNA from 1 species
UUUGGUAGCUCGUCGGGCUCAUAACCCGAAGGUCGUCGGUUCAAAUCCGGCUCCCGCAA